rnacentral:lncRNA from 1 species
GGGAAUGUGUGAUCUAAGUCCUUGAAAGCAAGAACAAGAAAAUCACAUACAAAAUGAAUUACAGCUCACAAGGGAAUUUCCCACGGCCACACAUCACGUCUUUGUCAGAGCUGGGCCUGGAACCCUUUCUGCACUCAAACCCUUUAUGAAGACCCACUUUGUCCAUGAGGCCCCCAAAUCCCCCCUUCCCCAAAAAAAGGAGGACAACACCUGUGCGGAUUCUCCGGAAGAGGACAGAAAAGAAGACCAUGGGAUGCCCAACCCAGUGGACCAUAGUAAUACAGUGACCAGCACCAUGACAGUGCAAGAGUAUUUUGCCAAGCGCAUGGCAAAACUGAAGAAAUUCCAGAAAGAACCAGAGAGUGAGUUAGCUGAUCCUGGCACGACUGCGGCUGAAGACUUAGAGUCUUCACAAGGACUGAAAACCAGAUCCAAAAAGAAAAGCUGGAAAAAUGCUGAGGCAGAGAACGUGGACAGUUAUGAAGAACCAAAGGUGAAACGCUCCAGAACAGAUGGCUUGUGGGAAGAAGAACUGGAGACAGCAAACACUGAAUACCAAUCAAGGAAAAAGAAAAAGAAAGCUAAAGAUCCACGCAAAGAUGAAACGCUCCAGAACAGAUGGCUUGUGGGAAGAAGAACUGGAGACAGCAAACACUGA